CGGGUGGAGCCGCAUUACAUCUUCGACCCGGGGCAUUCAGCCCGUCGGCGGACUGGUGUUCCGGCCACUAAAGCGCGUCUCGGCGUGCUGGCGCUGGACGCCUUUCUGAACGACGGGUGCACUUGCUCCGGUCUGUCGAUGGCCACGACCGGUUCCUUCGCAGGCUGUCUGGAGCCUGGCCGAUCGGGCAGGGACGGAUGCGCCGUUUCUUUUCGGUGCGUCUUCCUCGCCACGGCCGGGAUGGACUUGUCUGGGGACCGAGGACGACGAAUGGCCGUCGCUCCCGGAACGCGGGCGUUCUUGCCGCCGACCCCGUCAACUGUCCCUACCCUAACGGGGAACGGACGACCGACGCCAGGGGUCGUUUUUGCGGCGAGCUCUCGCCUCGUGCCGGAGCGUCGCCGCGAGUGUCUGUGGCGAAUCGAGUCGGUACUCCACCCGACCCG
rnacentral:rRNA from 1 species